rnacentral:rRNA from 1 species
GCAGCGGAAAGCUCAGUAACACGUGGCCAAACUACCCUGUGGAUGGGAAUAAUCUCGGGAAACUGAGGCUAAUUCCCAAUAAUGCUCCACCCCUGGAAUGGGUGGAGCUGGAAACGCUACGGCGCCACAGGAUGUGGCUGCGGUCGAUUAGGUAGACGGUGGGGUAACGGCCCACCGUGCCAAUAAUCGGUACGGGUUGUGAGAGCAAGAGCCCGGAGACGGAAUCUGAGACAAGAUUCCGGGCCCUACGGGGCGCAGCAGGCGCGAAACCUUUACACUGUACGCAAGUGCGAUAAGGGGACUCCGAGUGUGAAGGCAUAGAGCCUUCACUUUUGUACACCGUAAGGUGGUGCACGAAUAAGGGCUGGGCAAGACCGGUGCCAGCCGCCGCGGUAAUACCGGCAGCCCGAGUGAUGGCCGAUAUUAUUGGGCCUAAAGCGUCCGUAGCUGGCCGGACAAGUCCGUUGGGAAAUCUGUCCGCUUAACGGGCAGGCGUCCAGCGGAAACUGUUCGGCUUGGGACCGGAAGACCUGAGGGGUACGUCCGGGGUAGGAGUGAAAUCCUGUAAUCCUGGACGGACCACCGGUGGCGAAAGCGCCUCAGGAGGACGGAUCCGACAGUGAGGGACGAAAGCUAGGGUCUCGAACCGGAUUAGAUACCCGGGUAGUCCUAGCUGUAAACGAUGCCCGCUAGGUGUGGCGCAGGCUACGAGCCUGCGCUGUGCCGUAGGGAAGCCGAGAAGCGGGCCGCCUGGGAAGUACGUCUGCAAGGAUGAAACUUAAAGGAAUUGGCGGGGGAGCACUACAACCGGAGGAGCUGCGGUUUAUUUGGACUCAACGCGGACAUCUCACCAGCUCCGACAGUAGUAAUGACGGUCAGGUUGAUGACUUUACCCGAUGCUACUGAGAGGAGGUGCAUGGGCGCGUCAGCUCGUACCGU